UAUUAUAAUUUGUUGAUUAUAUAUUUUAUUUUUUUAAUUAUAUAAUUGUUGUUAUAUACCAAUAAUUUUAUGUUUACAAAAAUGAAUACAUUUUUGUGCACAAACUAUAGACCUUAUGGCUUAUACCAAUAUACAGAACAUAGUAAUACUUUCAACAGUAGAAUAAUCUGCGCUGCUUAGGGUUGUCCCAGUAAACUACACAAGCACACUAGGAAUAUAAGGGAUUGUUUCAUUUAAAAUGCCAUCGUGCGUGUUACAAUCUACAAUAUAAGAAAUGGUAUAAAACAAUACAUCUGAAUAUUUGAUAGUUUCUCAUUGUACUGUGUCCAUAAUUGUAUUUUAUCUUAUUGUGUUUUAAUAACAAAUAUUUUGAUCAAACGGAAUGGCAUCACUGCAA